rnacentral:rRNA from 1 species
ACUCCUACGGGAGGCAGCAGUAGGGAAUCUUCGGCAAUGGGGGCAACCCUGACCGAGCAACGCCGCGUGAGUGAAGAAGGUUUUCGGAUCGUAAAAACUCUGUUGUUAGAGAAGAACGUUAAGUAGAGUGGAAAAUUACUUAAGUGACGGUAUCUAACCAGAAAGGGACGGGCUAACUACGUGCCAGCAGCCGCGGUAAUACGUAGGUCCAAGCGUUGUCCGGAUUUAUUGGGGCGUAAAGCGAGCGCAGGUGGUUUCUUAAGUCUGAUGUAAAAGGCAGUGGCUCAACCAUUGUGUGCAUUGGAAACUGGGAGACUUGAGUGCAGGAGAGGAGAGUGGAAUUCCAUGUGUAGCGGUGAAAUGCGUAGAUAUAUGGAGGAACACCGGAGGCGAAAGCGGCUCUCUGGCUGUAACUGACACUGAGGCUCGAAAGCGUGGGGAGCAAACAGGAUUAGAUACCCUGGUAGGAUAGCG